UAUUGAAAGGGUUUUUGAUCAGUGCACUACCAAGAUUUCAUAACUUAAGAUCCACUACUUUGAACAGUGGAAAUUUUCUGAUCUUAUCUUAUUUUAUCGAAACUCGACAGGUUUAUCUCGCGUCUUUCUCUUAAAUUGUGCUCACUAUGUGUUUGUGUGGGGAGCUACUUCUUCGUAAAUUUGCGGAACUUUUAGUACAAGAUAACCGAUACAUAUGCAUAUGUGAAAACCCCAGUCCUAACCAAUUCUACACCUGUUUAUUUAUAUUUUCUACUCAAGUCUGUCGCUUUUUCCUCUUAAAACACAGAGGUAAGGAUCAAAAGAACUACUUUUUUUUUCUUUGAAAUAAAUGUCUGAUUUCAAAGGUUUCAACAUCAGUCGUCAAAGAGCAACUAUAAUUCUUGGUCUUGACAAUAUGAGAGACUAUGGAAAACACCUCAGAAUUAAUCACCAGAUGCUUAGCUUCUCUUUUAAUUUUUGAGAUCUUAUGCAUUAUAAUUAAAUUGAUUUGAGAGGCAAGAAAAGAAAACUAACUCGUGACAUGUAUUGAAAGCGAUGGGGAACAAGGGGCGUUUUUGAUGUCUUGAUCACUUAAUCUCUUACUCUUUUGUAUAGUUUAAUUCACCCUUCUUUUUCUGGUUUGGUUUGUCUUACAGGAAUUUGUCAAAUGAUUGGUCUUUUAUAGUCACCUCGACUCUUUGAAAUUUCUAACUUGGUUUGUUCCGUUUGUGGGUUUUGUGUUGAUCUCUUUACGAUUUUCCUAUUUCCUCACCGUGCGAACGAGGAAGAAAUUAAAAGAGACAUGGUAAAACCAUGUGCCCGAGCCCUUUGACAGUGAGAAGUUGUCAUUGGACUUAGGUUGCAAAUAUUCAAAGACUUAAGAGAAAGUAUACAAAAUUCUGAACUAAGUACAUUAUUUUUUAUAAUAGGUAACUGGAAAAAGAUGAAGCUUGAUGAGAUUAUUAACUAUGUCUAAUUCCUCCAAAGUCGAGUUGAGUGAUGUUAGCUAAUCUCAAUCUAAGUGCUUCAACAUGGAACGUCUUCUCUUCGAGGAUGCAAGUCAGUCAAACAUAUGCUAUGUUAAUGAUGAGUUUUUGUGUUUUUUUUUUUUUCUUGUAUAAUUGUUCAUGAAUUUUGUGACAAUUUCAGAUGAUUCAAUCCAUUGAAUUGUUGCAUCAUACCAACAGAAGUAGCUGCAGAGUGAAUUUUUAGAGUUAUGAAACUGGUUUAGGGGAAAAUUUAGUUCCGCUAGAUUUGUUGAGAAUAACAAAAGUCGGGUUGUAGUAAAGAAAUCUUAGUCCAUACAUUAUUCCUAUAUCUACUUAAGACAGCCGCUUAGUAUCGCCAUAAUCUUAUAUAAGCUUUCUUUGACUUUC